rnacentral:rRNA from 1 species
UACGAAGGGGGGCUAGCGUUGCUCGGAAUCACUGGGCGUAAAGCGCACGUAGGCGGAUUGCUAAGUCAGGGGUGAAAUCCUGGAGCUCAACUCCAGAACUGCCUUUGAUACUGGCGACCUUGAGUCCGGGAGAGGUGAGUGGAACUGCGAGUGUAGAGGUGAAAUUCGUAGAUAUUCGCAAGAACACCAGUGGCGAAGGCGGCUCACUGGCCCGGUACUGACGCUGAGGUGCGAAAGCGUGGGGGAGCAAACAGG